UGUGAUAGGAUUUGUAAGAUAUUUAGAUAAAUGAGCCACAUCAGACUUCAGUUUUUUUUCUUGUUUUAAAUUUUGUUUGUUUUAAAAGUUUACAUUCAGGUCAUUUAUACAUAAACAAGAUCAUAUAAUAUGUUCUGUCCUGUGACUUACUUUUUUUUUUUUUAACUUAACAAUGUACCCUGGAGUUCUUUCUGUGUUAGUACAUAGAGGUUUCCCUCAUUUUCUUUAACAGCUGCAUUCUUUCCUGACUGUGGGUACAUAGGUGUUUGCCAUUUUCCAGCAUCACAAACAAUAUUACAGCAAACAUACUUGGACCCAAAUUUAUGUGCUUAUGCAUAAAUUCUGAAGGAUAUAUUCCUAGAGGUAGAAUUUCUGGACCAAAAGGCAUGCACAUUUGAAUUUGGGGUAAAUAAUACUAAAGCUUCUCCCCAAAAAUUCUGUUCUAAUUUACAAAGACACCAAAAUACUCCUCAACACUGAACAUUAUCAAUAAAAAAAAAAAUUGCUAACAUUACAUGCAGAAAAAUCCGUGUCAUUUAAAAUUGCAUUUAUCUGAUUUACCAGUUUUAUUGUGCAUCUUUUCAUAUGCCUGUUGACCAUUUGGAUGUGGGGGAGCAUUUUCUUGUAGUAUAAAAAUACAGAAAAGUACACAAGUCGUAAGUGUACUACUGAAAGAAUUAACACAGCCUGAGCUCUUCUUGUAACCACCACCCAGGUCGAGAAAUUGAAUAUUAUCAGACCUUUUCCCACCUCCCCCAAAGAAAUCACUAUCCUGUAAUAUACCUCCUAUAGAUUAGUUGUGCUUGUUUUUGAACUUCAUAAAAUGGAAUCAUACAACAUGCACUCUUAGGUCUAGCUUCCUUCAUUCAACAUGAUGAGUAUUCAUGUACUUGCUCGUAGCUGUAAUAUAUUAAUAUACAUUGCUUAUUAUAUUCCAUUAUGUGAAUAUACCACAAUUUAUUGAUUGAUGGACAUUUGGGUUCUUUCCACCUUUCGGCUAUUAGCAAAUAUUGAUGCUAUGAACAUUCUUGUACAUGUUUUUUAGAAUACAUGUGCAUACAUUUCUGUUGUGUAUAUAUAUCUAGGAAUGAAAUUUUGGGGUCAUGAGUAGUAUUAUCAAACUGGCUAAUUGUGAAUUUCCUAUGACUAUUCCUUGUAUGUUAAUUAUUAGGUGGUUUGUAUGUGUUCUAUUUAUUCUGGAUGUUAAUUCUUUGUAUAGCUAUUGUAAAUAUUUUUUCCUGGUCUUUAUUUAUAUUGACUUUUAGUUCACAAAGUUUAAAAUUUUUAUUUAGUCAAUGCUAUAAAUCUUUUUCUUUAUGGUUUCUGAGUUUUAUGUCUUGCUUAGAAAGUCCUUCCCUAUCUCAAGAUUGUAAAAUAUUCUCUCAUGUUUCCUUUUAAUACUCAUUUUGAUUUUCACAUUAGGCUUUUUAAUCAAUCUGGAAUUUAUGAGGGUGAGAGACAGAGGCUAAUUUAUUAUCCAACACUUAGGGCAUGAAUAAAAUUGUACCAUUUGCUGCCUAGAUUUUUAAAUAUUUAUUUAUUUUGAAUUUCAAGACAGGUGAUAACAUCAAAGAGCUAAGAAACUGUCAAAAAUUAAAAAAAAAAUUUUUUUUUUUUACUUUGGUAUAGUUUCCCCUAAUUUACGCCUCAGUUAGAUCUUAAAUGGGGCAAAUGUUCUAUAUCAGUGGUUGCCACCCCAACUGUGAUGCAUAUAAAUGGUCAAUAACUAGUUAUUCAUUUACUGUGCAUUUAUUUAACUUAAAGGUGUGGUUCUCGUGGACUUUUGUGUCUAAUAAGGAGGAAGAUUCCAUUCUGGAAUCUUCAAGCUAGCCUGAUGCACACUGCAUAUGGGUUCUCGGGCUAGGAAAACCACAGCUGCUUCUUCCCUCCUAGAGCCCCAGCUCCUCUCAAUCUGAGUAGAUGCCCCAAAAUAGGUCAUGUGCUCUGAGUCCAUCCUCAGUAUAAAAAGGGGUCCAAUUUGAACUUUAUCACAAAUCCCCAGGGUCAGCUUUUGUUUUUAGACAGGACUUCCUCAAGCAAGGCUGCCCGCUCAAGGGAAACUAUUUUCCUGACCAGCUGGAUGUUGGGUGUAGGGUCACAUAGGGGAGAAGUGUGUUUGAACUCAGUCUGUUCUCCCCCUUGGCCUGACAUGGCGCAUCGGCUCCUUGUCGUGUCUGUUAACUAGUGGUGCUCAGCAUGGGCUUGUCUGGUUGUUCGCAGACUUUCCAGCUGCUUGUGAUGUGAGCUGGUUUUGUUCUGUCUGCCCCUCCUCUCUGAAACCUUUUUCCUUACACAUUUUUGGGAAGGCUGAUUACUUGGGAUUUAGUUAACAUGUUAGAGAACUGGAGCUUGAGCUGGGAUGAGGAGAAGAAACAUCCCCCUAGCUUGACAAAGAGCUUGGUUUCAGACUGGUGAACUGCACAUUCCACGGUGAACCACCUGAGCUGGUUUGCUUGGAAUCUGCUCUGCUGGCCAAGCUCCAAACAUAUAAUCAAAAGUGGCCUGAAAUCACUCAUUUUGCCACUUGCAUUCUUAGGUUCACAAUGUAAGGAUCUGGCUGGUGCCUGUCCUGAAAGCAUGGAAUUUUCUACUGUUUGUGACACAUGGCAUUAUGUGUGCGUGCGUGCGUGUGCGCCUGUGCAGUGUACACAGGCUUGUCUGAACAGGCAUGUUUUCAGCUGAACUAUUUAUACCUACAGACAGGCAGUGAUUAAAGAUCACGGUGUAUGGCAGGUUUUCUUUGAUUUCCAGAAUCGCCUGUCUGCAUUUGUAGGUUAGUGUCUUUGGAGAAAUGCAAUGGAGCAUCUUGCAUGUGCGUGAAACUGAUCCCCUAGGUAGAGGACCUUGCCUUGGAAAUAUCUGAGGAUAAUUUACUUAGAAGAGGUCAGUGUGCUAUUUUUUGGAGGAACAGGUGUAUUUGACCACACAUUGGGGGAAGUGAAGACCUGAGCUCUGAGAAAGUCAAGUGUGAGGCCCUCAGAGGUGGUUAUUUAUAUCGGAGUGAUGCGUAUUGAAAGCCGAAGUCUUUCAUUCCACCAGCAUCACAGAACUAAUUUAGAGAAGAGGAAGGGCAUGCGCUUUGCCUUGUGAAAUGUCUACUGUACUGAAACUUCUGGUGUGGGUCAGACUUUUCGUGAUCCAAGCACAGGCUCUGUUGUAGAUAAAAGGGUGCUUACACGCGCUUACUUCAGCUACUUCGUGGAUAAAAUGGCUCACUUUCCAUUGGUUGAUAGAUGUGUGACUUCAUUCUUGCUUCCUUUCCUGAGACGUCUCCCCCUCAACCCUGCAUGUGAGCAGCCUGGUGUGCAUGUAUGGGGGGGAAGGGGAGAAAGGACCUUAACAUAAUCUCUCAGCUCUAAAUAAGAACAUUGGACUCUAACAACCACCCAAAACAAUACAUUAGAAACCUUUGUGUUCACUAUUGUAAUAAAUGAAGUCUCAUACAACUAGCUUCCAUUUUUAUCUCUCUUGAAUUGUAAAGUCCCCUCCCUCACCCCUGCCACUCGGGCUCUUUUGGUUAUGGGAAAUGAAUGUGUUUCAGAACCAACAUGUCAGAAUUAUGAGGAAGAAAUUGGCAGUGGAACAAACUAUGCGACAUGCUUGACAAGAACUGAGAAACAAUACAUCUCAGAUUUUCUGAGGCAGUCUUCCUUUCGUUCAGAAAUAUGACCCAGAAGCCACAGAAAGGGAAGCACCUUUGUAGCACCAUUAGGGUCACAAAGAGUUAGUCUUUGUUAAGGAACCAACAGAGGAUAUUUCUGCACAGAAGGAUGAGGUGUCUGUAGGAGGAGAACGUAGUCCUGCUUCCACGAGGAGUAGGUGGAAAUUGCAAAAAGAGAACUUGUGAUCAUUUGUUUCAAAUGAGAAGACCAACGUGCAGAACGCCCAGAAGGAUGGAGCAGGAAGGAAAGGCGAGGUGGUAGGAAACCUGAGCACGUUUACAUAAAUGUUCAGCUCCUUCUGGGCUUGCCUAAUCCUCGUCCUUUGUAGUUUGCCUUUUACGAGGGUAAACAUGGUUUAAUAGUGAGCAAAUAUUCGUUCACAUUAUUAAAACCUGUUGUGUUGAACAGGAAACAUCCAAGGGAAAUCUGCAGGUGCCUGCAAGCAAGGGUGACUCUGGAAGGAUCUUGGUAUGUCGGUGCCUUCUCUCCCAAGGGAAAACUCUUGGAUGUUUGAAUUAAGUGCCAGGUCUGGAAAUGCAGAAAGAUAAUUGCUUCUAUUGAGUGCUUACUGUGUCCUUGGUACGAAGAACAGUAUUUUGCCUACAUUCUCUCUCAAUUUCAUCAACUCUGUGAGGCUCCGGACGCGCAGGCUCAGCGGCCAUGGCUCACGGGCCCAGCCGCUCCGCGGCAUGUGGGAUCUUCCCGGACCGGGGCACGAACCAUUGUCCCCCGCAUCGGCAGGCGGACUCCCAACCACCGCGCCACCAGGGAAGUCCCCAAGAAAACUUCUUAACUCCCAAGUUUGGUGCCUGGCUGGAAUAAAUGGAAGAGCUAGCUAGGGCUGGCUGGGCCUCUCUCUCUCUCUCUCUCUCUCCCUCCCUCCCUGGCCUCUUCAUGUGGCUAGGCAGGUCUUCCUCACAGCAUGAUGAUCUCAGGGUACAUGGCAGAUGGCUUCCAACUGAGAGGAAGAGGAAGCUUCCAGCACGUUUAGGGUCUGGGUUCAGAAGUACCAGAACAUUACUUCCACUGCACUCUGUUGAUCAAAGCAAGUCACAAGACCAGCCCUGAGUCAGGGAGAGGAAAUAGCUUAUACUUCUUGAUGGGAGGAGCAGUUUGCACAUACAGGGAGAGAUGAAUUAAUAGUGGUCCUCUUCGGAGACCACCUACCACAGAGGUAAGAAGGGUACAGAUGAGGAACAACCUUGUCUGCUUGUCAGGGAGGUUGAUGUGAACACCAGACCUGGGGGGUUUGCCCUGCUUCAUAUUUGAGAUCAGAAAGGAAAACACCUCUCAAACUGCCCCAACUUAUCAGAGUGAAACAGACAGAGUAGUGUGAUUAGGCAGAGGAAGGGAUGGAGCUUGGCUUCUUUGAACCCUCUUCAGUUCCCAUAUCUUAUGCGAGAUGGUCGAGUUGAGAAUCAGAGAGCCUACUCUGGGGUCUGCAGUGGUGAAGGGAGCAGGGGGAGCCCACAGCAAAGCCUGGACCUCUCAGGCCAUGGGCUGGAGAGAGGAUGGCAUAGCACCCCUGGAGUCAGAGUGGCAGGGGAAGCUGAACAGGCUGAGUCCAGCCACCCCACAGCGGGAAUCAGUGAGGAUCUGGAGAACGUGGUAUGGACUUGAGCACAUUGCCUCCUACCCUCUCAAUUCCCACACCCCUCCCACCCAGUGAAUUACUCAGGCUUCACAUUGCAGAGCAGCAAGGAGGAGAGAUGACCUGAGAGCCUGAGAAUGUGCCUGAAAGGACAACUUUUUAAACGGUCUCUUCAUAGCAUUUUCUGGACUUCACUGAAAUCUAACCAGCAAGAGAGGCUCAUAAGGAAGAAUGACAAGUUAUAAUGAAAUAAAGAAGCCAUGUUAAGGAAAAUUACAAAGACAUCAUAGGAAUAAUGGCAGUUACCUCUGUGGGAAAGGAGGGAGAGGAGGGGUCCAUGGGGAGCUUCGGCUGUUUUAGAGAUAAGGCUUUAUCUCUAAAGUUAGGGGAUGGAUAGGGGUGUUGUUAUAUCCUUUAUGCCUCUUUGUGGGUUUUAAAUAGUUCAUAAUGUAACUUUUUAAAAAGCUGCCAUUCUGAAUAGAAUUGUGAGCUGCCAAUGCCAAGUUUAGGUUGUGAACAUAUUGCAUGGGAGUGGGGAACAUAGAAAGAGGCUUGAAAUGGAAUCAGAUUUGCUGGUUCAAAAAACCAUCCGGGCCGGAUUUGAGGAGGACAAGAGUUGAGACAGGGUGGCCAAGGAGGAGGCUGCCGCUCCAAUUCCCUGAAAGGCGACGGUGGCCUGUAGUCUCAGGUGGUAGUCAGGGUGGCUUAGGAGUCAAGCUGGCAAUGAGGACUUGGUAAUUGACAAGAUGGGGGAGGGUGGCUGGGUGGGUAAGGUUUCUGGUGUAAGUGAACAGAGACCCCACGCCCACUGGCUGAGAUAAGCGGAUCCAGGUGGAGGGCAUAUUUAGAUGGAAAGGUGAAGAGUUCGCUCAGGACAGGUCGGGUUUGAGAUGCCUGUGGGAUGUCCCGGUGGAGGGUGGAUGCAGGAGUCUGGAUCUGGGAAACGCCAGCGCUAAGGCAGGUUGGAGCUGGAGAGGUAGGUGAGAUACCCUGAUGGGGAGCUAGUAGGAGAGUAGCAAAGAGGAUCCAGGACAGAUGAGCGCAGCAGCCACGCAGCCAGAGAAAGGGAAGCUCCAGCGGUUCCCACCACCCUUCCUUCCCCUGUGCAUCCCAUUCUCUAUUUGCUGUUCAGGUUUGCCUGCCUGGGGGAUCACUUUCCUUUCCCUCCGGAAUUAUUAAAAGGGCCAGAGAGGGGCUUCCCUGGUGGCGCAGUGGUUGAGAAUCUGCCUUCCAACGCAGGGGACAAGGGUUUGAGCCCUGGUCUGGGAACAUCCCACAUGCCUCAGAGCAACUAGGCCCGUGAGCCACAACUACUGAGCCUGUGCGUCUGGAGCCUGUGCUCCGCAACAGGAGAGGCCACUGCAGUGAGAGGCCCGCGCACCGCGAUGAAGAGUGGCCCCUGCUCACCGCGCACAGAAACGAAGACCCAACACAGCCCUAAAUAAAUAAAUUAAUUAAUUAAAAAAAAAAAAAAGGGCCAGAGAGAAAGGCUCCUUCCACAACCAGAUCUGCAUUGAGAUCCUCACCCAGGGAGCAGAAGGUCCAGCCACCCCGUGAACCUGUCUCCUUCAAGGACAGAGCCCAGAAAGAGCUGAUCCCGGAGCCUCCUCGGAGGAGGCUCCUGGGAGAAAAAGUGUUAACUUCCAGGCAUUAAAACAAGCUUCUUCGGGUUUCCCUGGUGGCGCAGUGGUUGAGAGUCCCCCUGCCGAUGCAGGGGACACAGGUUCGUGCACCGGUCCGGGAAGAUCCCACAUGCCGCGGAGCGGCUGGGCCCGUAAGCCAUGGCCGAAUGCAGCAAGAACACAGAGAAUACCCAGAGAUGACCACUGCUAAUAUCUUGGUGAUAUAUGGAGGAGCAGAUGUGUUGCCUCUAGCAAGGCAAUAAUUCACUUCAUUAUUAUUGUUUGAUUUGCCUUGUGUAUGCUGUUCAUUGCUAACUGAGGCCUGCAAUGCUGUCCGUGGGAUCUGAAAUGUACAAGAACGGGUCAGAAGGCCUUGGGAGAACUGAAAAAGAAGUCAUUGCCCUGGCCUCAGUCACCUGUCCCCAGACAAAAUCACACCCUGUCAUCCAUGAAGAUUUGCAGACCAGCCCCCACUCAACUGCUGUUUUGACCAUAGCCCUUGCUGCCCUAGGCUCUUACCCAUGGGACUGAGAACGUUAAUGUCAGAAAGAAGUUAGAAACUGAUACUGAAGAGCAGACCUGUGUUGGAAAGAACAUAGUUCAAGGGAGACUGGUGAAUGAAGAAGGGAAGAUCAAUGUGAUGGCUGGAGCUCUAGCUGCCACAUUGGACCAUGAAGUGAAUUCAAGAUGGAAGCCAUAUGCUAAGUAUGGCAGAACAAAAAGACAGAGGAAACCUGGAACUUUGAUGACACUGUAGCUCCCAUACCAGCCAGAAUCCAGCCUUAUUUUGUAUGAGAGAGAAAUAAGCUUCUAUCUUAUUGAAACCACUGUUAUUUCCUCCUUCACCUGGGACAUCACAAGUCUAGGGAAUCUUUGGAAGGCUUUGACCAGAGAGUGAAAAAUUAGGGAUUUCAUUUGUUUGUCUUUUGGUGAUUCUGAAGAGCAGUCUCCGUUGGGAACCCUGGAGCAGAUGCUAUCUAAGAUGCCUCGCGGGGCUCCAGUGUUCUCUGACUCCAAAGCCCCCUGGAGCAUAUUCUGCGCAGUUCCACGCAGUGCAGCCCAGAGGAGACAGCAGCCCUCACCGUGAAGCCCCGUGAGAGAGUCGGCGUGUACCCCGGGGAGCAGCCAGCACGGCAGAGCGUGUGACUUGCGUGGCGUGGGGGAGAGGGGGCCGGGGCGGUGCCUGUUUCUUAGCUGGUUCUGCUCUGGAGCCAGUGAAUUGGCCUCGCCUGGGGCCAGCGGGACCUUGGCCCAGACGGUGACUGUCCACCGCCUUGUUCCCGACGGCCCGGUCCUUCUCGCCAUCGUGCUGUGGUGUGGCACACCCAGCACGCCUGCCCCAAGUCCGAGGAGCACGUCAGGAAUCCCACAAGUUGCGUCCUUGAGGCCGGCACCCUUCGCGUGAGAUUCUGAAUGCAGUCAUGUGUCUCCAGCUGUCCCAGAGUCACAAAAAGUCCCCGUUCUAAUGAGGAGCUGUGGAAUGCUAAGGCUAAAGCUGCCUUGAGCUCCCCUUUCACGAGUUUCAAUCAUGGGUUAAUGCUGACAUUCUUUGGCUUUCGUAAAUGGGGAGGAGCCUUUUGUGUUUGUGUGAGGGCAGAGGCAGGAAUAAAUCGUGGCUCUCGGGGCUGACUUUGAUCCAGAA